rnacentral:lncRNA from 1 species
UGUGUCCAUUAGCCCUGAGGACUCACUGUUUUGGUGUCUGCUGUUAACUCUCACUUAAACAGACACAAGGCAGAAGCACCCCAGGAAACAUAAGUACAGACUUCUCCAGACCAGAUAAAUAGGGGAAUCUGGAAUGGGAAUAUCCAGAUCGACUGGACUUGGACCUACAACACCAAUAUCAACCUCGCUAGGGAAAGGCCCUGACACAUACAGGGAAUAAUAUGGGGGAAUGGCAUGAAAAGUCUCGAGGGAGAUACAUAGCAGGCUAACUCUUGGUGAAAAGCUGCGUAACUCUGUUCUACAGGAAAUCUUUGGCUGAAGGACGAUGUCAACUAGAAGCAGAGCCGCUCUAG